rnacentral:rRNA from 1 species
UGGGGAAUAUUGCGCAAUGGGGGAAACCCUGACGCAGCGACGCCGCGUGAGCGAUGAAGGCCUUAGGGUUGUAAAGCUCUGUUUUAAGGGACGAAUGUUACGGGGAGUAAUAUACCCUGUAAAUGACGGUACCUUAAGAGGAAGCCCCGGCUAACUACGUGCCAGCAGCCGCGGUAAGACGUAGGGGGCGAGCGUUGUCCGGAAUUACUGGGCGUAAAGAGCACGUAGGCGGGAACUUAAGUCAGGUGUGAAAGACCGGGGCUCAACCUCGGGGGUGCACUUGAAACUGGGUUUCUUGAGGGCAGGACAGGAAAGUAGAAUUCCUGGUGUAGCGGUGAAAUGCGUAGAAAUCAGGAGGAAUACCAGUGGCGAAGGCGACCUUCUGGACUGACCCUGACGCUGAGGGGCGAAAGCGUGGGUAGCAAACAG